rnacentral:tRNA from 1 species
CGGGGCGUAGCUCAGCUUGGUUAGAGCGUCGCGUUUGGGACGCGAAGGCCGGACGUUCGAAUCGUCUCGCCCCGACCA